UCAGGAAAUGCAGAGACGAAUGGGAAGGAUGGGCAUUCGGAUGAGGAAGACCUCCUGAAGUAUAGGCCAAACCCAGAUAUGAUGGACACAGACUGGUCCUGAUGGUCAGUUAACGAAGCGGAGCACCUGAACUAGCAGUCACGUCUGCAAUAUACACACCAGCAAAACACUCCUGUAACACUAAACAGUUCAUGCAUAUCCUUGACUGAAGACGAUGUUGCAAAGGUUUCAGACAUCAGCUUUGGCGUUGACAAGAAACAAGAUGACGAGUACAAUGCUCCUGAUGAGUACAACGCAGUGUAUAAGUUUGCUUUGUACUGCUUGAGACCAUCUCUGGAAGGCGUUCAUAUUUUGACGACGAUGUGCUCCUUUAUUUUCCUUUAUGAAUACCAAAUUCUUUAAUGUGUCCUCUUGUGUGGAAUCAAGUUCCUAAUUUAGCUAGAGCAAUACUUGAAAAGAGGAAUCACAAUUAGUUGUUUUUCAUGUGAUUGUAUAACAAUUUCUCGUAAAUGAAUAUAAUGCUGACUAAUUUACUGUUUGUGUGAA